rnacentral:rRNA from 1 species
CAGUAGUCACGAGUUUGACCUGGCUCAGAACGAACGCUGGCGGCGCGCCUAACACAUGCAAGUCGAACGAGAAUCCGGGGCAACCCGGUAGUAAAGUGGCAAACGGGUGAGGAAUACAUGGGUAACCUACCCUUGAGAAGGGAAUAACCCGCCGAAAGGUGAGCUAAUACCCUAUACGCUAUCUUUUUUUCGAAAAGGAUAGGAAAGCCGGGUCGAGGACCUGGUACUCAAGGAGGGGCUCAUGUCCUAUCAGCUUGUUGGUGGGGUAACGGCCUACCAAGGCUACGACGGGUAGCUGGUCUGAGAGGAUGAUCAGCCACACUGGCACUGAGAUACGGGCCAGACUCCUACGGGAGGCAGCAGUGAGGAAUAUUGCGCAAUGGGCGAAAGCCUGACGCAGCGACGCCGCGUGGGGGAUGAAGGUUUUCGGAUUGUAAACCCCUUUCAUGAGGAAAGAUAAAGUGGGUAACCACUUAGACGGUACCUCAAGAAGAAGCCACGGCUAACUUCGUG